UACGAAGGGGGCUAGCGUUGUUCGGAAUUACUGGGCGUAAAGCGCGCGCAGGCGGCUAUCCAAGUCAGUGGUGAAAGCCCGGAGCUCAACUCCGGAACUGCCAUUGAAACUGUUUAGCUUGAGGACGAGAGAGGUGAGUGGAAUUCCCAGUGUAGAGGUGAAAUUCGUAGAUAUUCGCAAGAACACCAGUGGCGAAGGCGGCUCACUGGCCCGAUACUGACGCUGAGGCACGAAAGCGUGGGGAGCAAACAGG
rnacentral:rRNA from 1 species